rnacentral:hammerhead_ribozyme from 1 species
AUCCAGCUGAGGAGUCCUAAAUAGGACGAAGUGGGCAUCCUGAAU